rnacentral:pre_miRNA from 1 species
AGCAUCGGGCCUGAUUCACAGCCCAGUGAAGUCAAUGGAAAGACUUCCACUGAUUUCAGUGGGAUUUGGAUCAGACCCUUAUUCU